UUUGCCCUGAGUGUUGCUGGUGUAACUGUUGUGUUACUUUGGUGUCAAGACGGGCAUAGAAAAACAAUUGGUCUCCACUUGAAAUAUCUGUGUAGGUAUUGCAAACUAGUAACCAGGUGACAUA
rnacentral:snoRNA from 1 species